rnacentral:lncRNA from 1 species
CUUCUAGCUUAGGCACUUAAAGAUCUAGAGAGUAUCUUUGAUUUCUGCAACACCGAUCGAGCCGUUAAGUGUUGCCUCUGGCCAUGGUUCAUCCUUUCUUUUCCCUCUAAACUUGAUAUAUGUUUGGGUUUAGAAUGGAAGCAAUUUCAAGUCAUUCAUGAUUCUUCUUUGAGAUUGAUAGUCAUUUCACCAAAACCCAGUUCAUAUCACCUACAUAGGUAUCUCAAGCAUACUGGCUUUUAUCUCCUCUUCACUCUAGCAUUCUGAGUUGCAACCAUUGCUGGUCAAAAGAAACCGAGGAAACCACAAAACGACUUCAAUCCAUAUUAACGACUAUUCAUGGGAUCCAAGCAAAACAGUGCUCAAAUCAAGGGAUGGAUCUAUGAAUCAACUGAAAUAAAAUUUAUGUGAUAUGCUUAUGAAAAAAAGAUAAGGGUGGACUCUAAGAAGGCGAAGUUAGGUGAAUGAUUUCUUGAUUCGCGGUGAUAGUUUCAUAUCCCCAAGUACAUACCUAGACCAUAUAAUCUUUCAUCACAUAUGCUACUGCAUAAAUUGGCACAAGAGUAAGUUCUAUAGUUGGCUAGUUGCGCAAAAUUCUGUAAUGCACAUAAAU